rnacentral:rRNA from 1 species
GACGAACGCUGGCGGCGUGCUUAACACAUGCAAGUCGAACGGAAAGGCCCUGCUUUUGUGGGGUGCUCGAGUGGCGAACGGGUGAUUCACCCGUGCGUAACCUGCCCUUGACUUUGGGAUAACUUCAGGAAACUGGGGCUAAUACCGGAUCGGAGCUCCUGCUGCCUGGUGGGGGUUGGAAAGUUUCGGCGGUUGGGGAUGGACUCGCGGCUUAUCAGCUUGUUGGUGGGGUAGUGGCUUACCAAGGCUUUGACGGGUAGCCGGCCUGAGAGGGUGACCGGCCACAUGGGGACUGAGAUACGGACCAGACGCCUACGGGAGGCAGCAGUGGGGAAUAUUGCACAAUGGGCGGAAGCCUGAGGCAGCAACGCCGCGGGCGGGAUGAGGGCCUGCGGGGUGUAAAACGCUUUCGCCUGUGACGAAGCGUGAGUGACGGUAAUGGGUAAAGAAGCACCGGCUAACUACGUG